AUCGAAUGGUACAACAUUAUAUGAGUUGUACAAUCAAUUUUCUGUUUCUGAUGAAGCAGACAAGUAUCAGCUGUUUCUGGCGGGACCUGCUACGGGAAAUUUAGGGGAUGCAAUGUUAAACCCUGUAAGAAAUUCCAAAAGUCUGUCCGGGAUGUCAUUUAGCACCCCUGACAGAGACAACGACAGAUUAACUAUAAACUGUGCUUCUGAAUGGAGAGCGGGGUGGUGGAUGAAUGGGUGUUACGACGCCUGUCUCAACGGUCCCUGGUCUGUGAAGGCAUGGGACGAACCAUGGUAUCCUCUUAUAACAUACGGGACAUCUGUGGCAGGGACGAAGAUGCUGAUAAAACGUCAUUAAUUCAUGCUGAGCAAAUUCGGAUUCAAAGAAGAAUUUCAAGCCCUGUGAAUGAAUGAGGACGCUGUUCUGC